UACGAAGGGGGCUAGCGUUGCUCGGAAUCACUGGGCGUAAAGCGCACGUAGGCGGAUUGCUAAGUCAGGGGUGAAAUCCUGGAGCUCAACUCCAGAACUGCCCUUUGAUACUGGCGAUCCUUCGAGUCCGGGAGAGGUGAGUGGAACUGCGAGUGUAGAGGUGAAAUUCGUAGAUAUUCGCAAGAACACCAGUGGCGAAGGCGGCUCACUGGCCCAUUACUGACGCUGAGGCACGAAAGCGUGGGGAGCAAACAGG
rnacentral:rRNA from 1 species